GGUGAAGAACGUAGCGAAAUGCGAUACUUGGUGUGAAUUGCAGAAUCCCGUGAACCAUCGAGUCUUUGAACGCAAGUUGCGCCCGAAGCCAUCAGGUUGAGGGCACGUCUGCCUGGGCGUCACAUAUCGUUGUCCAAUGCCUAUUGCAGUGCAAUAGGAAUUUCUAGGGCGAAUGAUGGCUUCCCGUGAGCGUUGUUGCCUCGCGGUUGGUUGAAAAUCGAGUCCUUGGUAGGGUGUGCCAUGGUAGAUGGUGGUCGAGUUAGAACGAUACCGAUCAUGUGCAUGCUCCCCAAAAUAUGGCCUCUAUGACCCACACGCGUCUUUUGACGCUCAUGACGAGACCUCAGGUCAGGCGGGGCUACCCGCUGAAUUUAAGCAUAUCAAUAAGCGGAGGA
rnacentral:misc_RNA from 1 species